rnacentral:rRNA from 1 species
GUGGGGAAUAUUCCGCAAUGGACGAAAGUCUGACGGAGCAACGCCGCGUGAGUGAUGAAGGUUUUCGGACUGUAAAGCUCUGUUGUUUAGGACGAAAGUGCCUGUUGCAAAUAGUUACAGGUAUUGACGGUACUGAACGAGGAAGCCACGGCUAACUACGUGCCAGCAGCCGCGGUAAUACGUAGGUGGCAAGCGUUGUCCGGACUUAUUGGGCGUAAAGAGCAUGUAGGCGGGAAUCUAAGUCUGUUGUGAAAAUGCGGGGCUCAACCCCGUAUUGCGAUGGAAACUGGGUUUCUUGAGUGCAGGAGAGGAAAGGGGAAUUCCCAGUGUAGCGGUGAAAUGCGUAGAUAUUGGGAGGAACACCAGUGGCGAAGGCGCCUUUCUGGACUGUGUCUGACGCUGAGAUGCGAAAGCCAGGGUAGCGAACGGGAUUAGAAACCCUAGUAGUCC